CGCACAAUCGGCUUAGACUUGUGUAGUGGCCCCUAUAGUCUCCCCUUUAUCGGUACUCUCACUAUCGAACCCUUUUUUUCCACUUUGAAGGUACCAAGACGAAGAUUCGAUCGAGUACCACCAGUUCCGGGACCACGAGGAGCAUCAUGGAGGUUGGGACCUCUCAAAACUGGCCAUGAUCGUCCUCACCAAAAUUGGCCUCUUCAAGUUGAAGCUGUUCGUUCUGCUCAAACUUGCUAUAUUGUUCUUCUUCAAAAUGAAAGUGCUUCUCAUGGCGUUGUUCCUCAAACUCCUCAUGCUCAUGAAGGCCGCUAGCUCCUCAAACUCCUCUUCGUGCCCUUCCUCAUUAUGUUCCUGGCGCCACUCAUUGCUUUAUUACUAACGCCGUUGUUAGCAUUGCUUCCUAUGCUGCUCAAUGCGAUCCUGAACAAUGUGACGGUGCCAGUAUUCGUUCCGGGUGACGGAGAGGAGGAGCCGGAAAUGCGGACACCCGAAGACGAUGACGUCAGCGAGUCCAGAGCCCACUCACACCGGCCACCCUCCUUCAGUUCAAGAUGAUCCUGUCCUCGGAGGAGUGUUUGAAGCGGGUCGUCUGUGAGAUGGCAGCCAGAAGAAAGCCACCAAUCAAAUCUGUCGUCCUCGCCAGGUUACUAGACCUUGUCACUGCGGUGGUCCCAUAUCGGACGGUCAAAACAUACGUGCAAGUUUACAAGUCAGGACUCUACGUACAAGAGUCUCGGACCGAACCAUGGUGCUCGUCGCAAUAUACCUGUUCUCUUAUCAAAGACACAAGCAAAACUUCCUGACACUCAUGGGCUACAUAUUUUGCUCCGUUUUCCUUUCCUAAGGGUAACCUCAAUGUCCAUCUAUUGGAUAAAAGUCCGUUUGCAAUAUUUGCAUUCCCUAAAAACCUCAUUUAAAAAUCGUCACCUUUUGGCCUAUGUAUCACAUGCGCCAUGCGACGCUCAAAAAUUUCCGCCGCCACUAUCUACUUUUUACAAGAAAUUGUUCGACGAAGUUGUCCGAAAAUUUCCCUGAAAUUUAUUUGUGCUGCCGAUGAAAUUUUCUAACAGAUUCAACAAACAAUUUAUCUGUAAAAAAUAAAAUGUCGCCGGAAAUUUUUAAAUUUGAGAUACUUCGGCCAAGAGGUGACGAAAUCAUCCACAACGAGAAUCUUUUGAAGCCAGUCAACAUUUUUUUUCAGCCGACCCUGAAAGUACAUACCGAAAAGAUUUUUUUUUUUUUUUUUUUUUUUUAAUUACUUAAAAAAGAAACAAACAUUACAUUUCAAUGUUAAAGAGGUACAUCUUUAUGAAAUGAUUAAAAAAUUUGGGACACCCUAUAAAAGGAUGGUGACAGCGAGUAUUAAUAAUGAAAUGAUGCCAACUCAAUAAAUGGCUGUGAGAAGGCUACUCUUGCGGUUAGGCGAUACAGAGCGCCAGAGAGCGCUGUAAGAGCGGCUCUUGUAUGUAUGUACGUAUAUAUAAAAAUGCGUUUUUUCUAAUGCAACUUUAAAAAAUAAUUUGGGAAGUAGCCUUCUUGGAUUUGUUUUCCAAUCCUGGUAAAACUUCUUUCUUAAAAAUGUAUUUAUAUAUGGUUUUUAAAAAACGUACUCAUUGGUAUAAAAUCAUAAAAGUAACGUUUACCGCAUAACGCCUGAGAUGCAUAGAGCUUCGAAGAUUUAACUACGAAACAGUCAUGGGUCGUAGCCCUCUAUUUCGAAAUAAGCAUAUUUUAAAAAAUUCUAUUUUUUAAUAACUACACAGUGUGAAAAAAUUGAUGAUACUUACCUUUCAAUGCAUGAAAAAAUAUUUCCAUAGACUUGAUGAAAAGUAUUUAAAGAUAAAAUAAAGUUUAAAACUUUUUUGUUUUAAAGUUUUAAAGUAAUUGAAGAAUGACUUCAUAAAAUUUUAAGGAACUCUAUACGUCACCAUGACGUUUCUCCCUAAAUGUUUGGAAGUCGUUUUUGAAUUAUUUAUAACAGACUCUCAUCUAGGAAGAUUUAGGAACUGUUAAAAAUACUUAGAAUGUUUUAUAAACAUGUCUUUUGAGAAAUUUUGAUUUUGUUUUCGGAGAUUUUUUUUUAAAAAAAAACACGAGUUUUUGAGCGUCCUUGUGCCAUCAGGGCAAGAUCCCGUUUGGAAAGAGAAUGAGUUCGUCUGGCUGCCCAAAAAUAAUUUAAAUCGUCUCAAGAGGAACUCCGUUGCUAAAUUAAUUCAUGCAGAAUUUUUUUUCACGUUGAGGACACUUGUGGGUUUAUGGCUGCAUCUGGGCCAUGCGUUCAAAAACGUUUUAAGGACGAUAUAAUGUGUAUCUUCUUUGGGCCUAUGACUGAAUAAUUCUGAUUCCUUUAAUCCUUCACUGUCAACUCUUAAGUAUAGGUCUAAUGCGAUCAUAGAACCUGCACAAUACUUAAGAAUCAUUUGUUAGGCAGUAAAAGAGGGAAACGGAAACAAAGAGAUAAAUACAUCUUGUAUUAUUCAGUUACGAUCAGUGCAGUAUGCAUAAAUAAGUAUUUUCAAUUUCAGAUAUCAUCUCAAAAAUUUUGGAUCUACAGAUAAUAUUACGUCAUGUCUAUUCGGGUUUUCAUAUUUCAUUUUUUGCUUAUAAUAGAUACCUGGUAGAACAUUACGGAGAAAACUAAAGACAUGUUUUCAUUUUUACAUAAUGUAGAAACUGCAAUGUAUAUUGAACAAUUAUAACUCAUUCAUUUUUUGGUUUCAUAAAAAUAGACCACUAUCGUUUCAGUGCGUGAAUUAUACGCGAAUAAUUCCAACCAUAUUCGAUGAUACCUUAUUAUUUAAUUAUUUCAAUGUUAUUGAGGAUGACUAGUGUACAUCUUUCAGCGAUUGUCAUUGUGUAAUGACGCAUUUUGCAUAUAAUUUAGUCUGAAUAAAUAUCUUC
rnacentral:lncRNA from 1 species